CAGCGCCACGGUAAUGCGAAGGGUGCAAGCGUUAAUCGGAAUUACUGGGCGUAAAGCGUGCGUAGGCGGUUUGUUAAGUCUGUUGUGAAAUCCCCGGGCUCAACCUGGGAAUGGCAAUGGAUACUGGCAAGCUAGAGUGUGUCAGAGGAUGGUGGAAUUCCCGGUGUAGCGGUGAAAUGCGUAGAGAUCGGGAGGAACAUCAGUGGCGAAGGCGGCCAUCUGGGACAACACUGACGCUGAGGCACGAAAGCGUGGGGAGCAAACAGGAUUAGAUACCCCCGUAGUCCCUGUCUCUUAUACA
rnacentral:rRNA from 1 species